CAGGCCGUGUAGGCACUGACGAAGCGCCAGUGGGCAUGAUACGGUCCGUUGCCGGCGUCUGAGGCUUCCCUCGUUCCACCUUUCGUCUCCCCGCUAUGGAAUACCGUGAUUGAGUUCCAGCUUCCAGCCUCCAUACAGAAGUCACAGUGGAGAAUGAAGUGUGUUUACAGCAUACCGACAUGUGCUGAACAAUCCUAUAGGCAGAGGAGCACACAGGGAAUGAAAAGCAGAUGCUGCAACGUCACUGAUGAGUGCUGUGGGAUGGAAUUACGCAGGGUGGGAGGACUGUGAUGAAGAACUGAGGGACAAUGACUGGCCAGUUUAGCCAGAAGAGUCUUUUCCAGUAAAUACAUCUGAUCACCGGGGAUAGAGAAGCUUCAUGAGUCAGCCCUUUUAAGGAUAGGAACUGAUGACUGCGGAAAGUCGCAGUUGAUUUGUAUUCAUACAAUAUCCCAUUUAUAACAUAAAAUGUGAAGAUACUGAACAGAGUUACGAUACCAGGAAGCUUUGUCAUGAGGUCACGAGAGCACCGUAACUGCAGGCUAUAGGAAUAUAUG